GCAGGGGUGGCUGAGCGGUUUAAAGCGCUGGGCUGAAGACCUAGUAGACCUCACUAGAUCUCGCGGGUUCGAAUCCCGUCCCCUGCG
rnacentral:tRNA from 1 species